UACGGGGGGGGCAAGCGUUGUUCGGAAUUACUGGGCGUAAAGGGCUCGUAUGUGGCCAACUAAGUCAGACGUGAAAUCCCUCGGCUUAACCGGGGAACUGCGUCUGAUACUGGAUGGCUUGAGUUUGGGAGAGGGACGCGGAAUUCCAGGUGUAGCGGUGAAAUGCGUAGAUAUCUGGAGGAACACCGAUUGCGAAGGCAGCUCGCUGGGACGUCACUGACGCUGAGACGCGAAAGCGUGGGGAGCAAACAGG
rnacentral:rRNA from 1 species